rnacentral:lncRNA from 1 species
AUGAAUAUUUUGCUUGUUUCUUUGUUUUUUGGGUAUGGGUAACAAAAAACCAAAUAUUUUACAAACAUGGUAGUCAAAAUAUAGUCAACUUAAUAGGUUGAGAAGUGUGGUCGAACUCCUCUCCAUCAUACAUAAAAACUUUCAUCCAUUACUUAUGGUUGUUGACAAUCUAUUGGUCUCUAACCAUGAACACCUUAGUUGCUUUCAUAGCAUUAAAGGAUGAAAAGUUGAGGUGUGUUGAACUGGGUUACAUGUAUAAGCACGUACUUGAAGUGGUGGUUGUUUUUACCUAGCUACAGGCAUGAUAUUCAUACACUGGUUUCAUGGUCUGGGUACUUGAAGCAUGCAUAGCAUAGAUCGUCUUGCACUGAUCUUUGCGAACCUUUCUGGGUCAAUUGUUGGUCGUUGUAAGCCCGAGUUAACCGCCAGGUUUCAUAAUAUUUUGGUCUACAAAUAAUAUAACACAGUUCAUGUAGUCAAUGAAGGACAAUGUAAUUAACAAACACAUGUAAAUGUAUAUAAAUCACAGAUAAUAAACCUGAACAUUUAAUAUGGUAUCAAAAUUUUAUUAAUAUGAUUUAAUAUGAUAUCAAAAUUGAGAGCAUACCUUUGUAAAUGAUUUGUUCAAG